rnacentral:rRNA from 1 species
CAGCAGCCGCGGGAAUACGUAGGGUGCGAGCGUUAAUCGGAAUUACUGGGCGUAAAGCGUGCGCAGGCGGUUAUAUAAGACAGAUGUGAAAUCCCCGGGCUUAACCUGGGAACUGCAUUUGUGACUGGCGAGCUAGAGUAUGGCAGAGGGGGGUAGAAUUCCACGUGUAGCAGUGAAAUGCGUAGAGAUGUGGAGGAAUACCGAUGGCGAAGGCAGCCCCCUGGGCCAAUACUGACGCUCAUGCACGAAAGCGUGGGGAGCAAACAGGAUUAGAUACCCGCGUAGUCCCUGUCUCUUAUAC